GACGAACGCUGGCGGCGUGCCUAAUACAUGCAAGUAGAACGCUGAAGGAGGAGCUUGCUCUUCUGGAUGAGUUGCGAACGGGUGAGUAACGCGUAGGUAACCUGCCUGGUAGCGGGGGAUAACUAUUGGAAACGAUAGCUAAUACCGCAUAAGAGUAGAUGUUGCAUGACAUUUGCUUAAAAGGUGCAAUAGCAUCACUACCAGAUGGACCUGCGUUGUAUUAGCUAGUUGGUGGGGUAACGGCUCACCAAGGCGACGAUACAUAGCCGACCUGAGAGGGUGAUCGGCCACACUGGGACUGAGACACGGCCCAGACUCCUACGGGAGGCAGCAGUAGGGAAUCUUCGGCAAUGGACGGAAGUCUGACCGAGCAACGCCGCGUGAGUGAAGAAGGUUUUCGGAUCGUAAAGCUCUGUUGUAAGAGAAGAACGAGUGUGAGAGUGGAAAGUUCACACUGUGACGGUAGCUUACCAGAAAGGGACGGCUAACUACGUG
rnacentral:rRNA from 1 species